AUUUAGACGAUAUAAAUAUAGACUGUUUACAAAAUAAUAAGAGUGGGGUGACUACUGGUGGAUCCAAUCAGGGAGUAACAUAUGAAAACCUCAGACACAAGCAGAAAUCUGUCCAUGGUUAGGACUCUCAUCUCUUUGAGGAUAUUGAGAGAUUAAAGUUUUCUAGAGGACAGACUUCACCUGUUCUGGGAAGAGGAAGUGAAUAUUUACCUAGUUAAACAUGAACUAAAGUACCCAGAUUAUGCCACAUAACGAUUUUACAAUCUUCUUGGAUCUGACUGACAGCUGUGAAGAAGAGCAAAACAUUCCGAUAUGGAUAUCCUGAUCUCCUGGCUGUGCAUCUGAUGCAUCAAAAUAUAAUGUUUAUAGUCCAUUUACCUGGCAUUUAAAAGAAGCUCCAGAUAUACAGACACUUUUAUUUUGGGAUUUGUGGAGAAGAUUACUAAUUAAAAUUAAGAUAAUUAUUGUAAUUUUCACAUUAAGUUUAGUCUCGUAAGCUGUUCUAUUGUGUUUAUGUAAAAGGCCUUCACACAGCAUGUGAUGAGAAAUAUACAUUAAUGUUUAAUGAAAGGCCACUGACCUGCUUUCCAUCUUGCUGUUUUUAUGUCUUCACUUAAAGCAUGAA